rnacentral:rRNA from 1 species
AGAGUUUGAUUCUGGCUCAGGAUGAACGCUGGCGGCGCGCCUAACACAUGCAAGUCGAACGGCGACGGGGCUUCGGCCCCCGAACAGUGGCGGACGGGUGAGUAACGCGUGAGUAACCUGCCCCGGUGAGCGGAAUAACGUCCGGAAACAGACGCUAAUACCGCAUGACACAUUCCAUCGGCAUCGGAGGGAUGUCAAAGAUCAAUCGCACCGGGAUGGACUCGCGUCCCAUUAGAUAGUUGGCGGGGCAACGGCCCACCAAGUCAGCGAUGGGUAGCCGGACUGAGAGGUUGAACGGCCACAUUGGAACUGAGAGACGGUCCAGACUCCUACGGGAGGCAGCAGUGGGGAAUAUUGGGCAAUGGGCGAAAGCCUGAACCCCCAGCGACGCCGCGUGAGCGAAGAAGGUCUUCGGAUUGUAAAGCUCUGUUGACAGGGACGAUAAUGACGGUACCUGUCGAGGAAGCCACGGCUAACUACGUGCCAGCAGCGGC